UACGUAGGGUGCGAGCGUUGUCCGGAAUUACUGGGCGUAAAGAGCUCGUAGGUGGUUUGUCGCGUUGUUCGUGAAAACUCACAGCUUAACUGUGGGCGUGCGGGCGAUACGGGCAGACUGGAGUACUGCAGGGGAGACUGGAAUUCCUGGUGUAGCGGUGGAAUGCGCAGAUAUCAGGAGGAACACCGGUGGCGAAGGCAGCUCGCUGGGACGGUACUGACGCUGAGGCGCGAAAGCGUGGGGAGCGAACAGG
rnacentral:rRNA from 1 species